rnacentral:tRNA from 1 species
AGCGGGGUGGAGAAGUGGUAUCUCGCCGGGCCCAUAUCCCGGAGAUCGCAGGUCCGAUUCCUGCCCCCGCCA